GCAACAGCUCAGAUUUCCAAUCUGGCCCCCCCCGGGGGCCCGAGUUGUAAUCUGGAGAGGAUGCUUCUGGCGCGGCGCCCGGCGAGUUCCCUGGAACGGGACGCCGGAGAGGGUGAGAGCCCCGUACUCCGGGCCGCCUAGCCUCUGCGAAGCUCCUUCGACGAGUCGAGUAGUUUGGGAAUGCUGCUCUAAACGGGAGGUAAAUUUCUUCUAAAGCUAAAUACCGGCCAGAGACCGAUAGCGCACAAGUAGAGUGAUCGAAAGAUGAAAAGCACUUUGAAAAGAGGGUCAAACAGUACGUGAAAUUGUUGAAAGGGAAGCGCCCGUGGCCAGACUUGCGCCCCGCGGCUCACCCGGCGGACCCCGCCGGGGCACGCCGCGGGGCGCAGGCCAGCAUCGGCUUCCCCAGGGGGACAAGGACGGCGGGAACGUGGCUCCUCCGGGAGUGUUAUAGCCCGCCGCGCCAUGCCCCUGGGGGGGCCGAGGACCGCGCUUCGG
rnacentral:rRNA from 2 species